CAGGACAGGUUGUUGACCUAAUACUCCCAGUACCUGGACAGACACAGGACAGGUUGUUGACCUAAUACUCCCUGUACCUGGACAGACACAGGACAGGUUGUUGACCUAAUACUCCCAGUACCUGGACAGACACAGGACAGGUUGUUGACCUAAUACUCCCAGUACCUGGACAGACACAGGACAGGUUGUUGACCUAAUACUCCCAGUACCUGGACAGACACAGGACAGGUUGUUGACCUAAUACUCCCAGUACCUGGACAGACACAGGACAGGUUGUUGACCUAAUACUCCCAGUACCUGGACAGACACAGGACAGGUUGUUGACCUAAUACUCCCAGUACCUGGACAGACACAGGACAGGUUGUUGACCUAAUACUUCCUGUACCUGGACAGACACAGGACAGGUUGUUGACCUAAUACUCCCAGUACCUGGACAGACACAGGACAGGUUGUUGACCUAAUACUUCCUGGACAGACACAGGACAGGUUGUUGACCUAAUACUUCCUGUACCUGGACAGACACAGGACAGGUUGUUGACCUAGUACUUCCUGUACCAGGACAGGUUGUUGACGUAGUACUUCCUGUACCAGGACAGGUUGUUGACGUAGUACUUCCUGUACCAGGACAGGUUGUUGUCCUGUGUCUGUAUAGUAACGCUUUACUUUACUCUGUUACUCAUAAAAGUAAUCUGAUUACGGAACGCUUUACUUUUGUAACACUGGUUAGGAGUCUCCCUCCCUCCCUCCCAGAUAGAACCAGUAGGUCCUCCUCUUCCUCCAAGGGUGAAUGAGGAAGAGCAGACAGACCGGACAGACCGGACAGUAUCAACCUGACCUGUCGAAGCAGGGUUUUAUACAGCUACUGUUAAACGAUGACCGGUGGGUUAGGGACAAAUCCAACAGUAAGUGUAGUGCCUCCUCUCCUCCUCUGUGGUGUGAAUCUCUUUCUCGCUUCUCUCUUUCUGGGUCUUUGGCCUUGUAACAGUAAGACUGUACCCUUUUUGACUGUUAAAAGCUCUGUCUGUGCGUAUUGAUAACGGCUGGUUGGCUGGGGCCUGUUUCAGCUCCUCCUCCUAACCACCUGGGCCAUGUUGUUGAACGUUGCAGAUAGACUAGAGCUGAUGUUAUUCUAUAUACUAGAUGUGUUCUACAUCACACUGCUCCUUUAUACGCAUGACCUUUGACCCCCCCGUACACUGAAAUUAGUUUUUUGGGGGGAGUUUUUCUUUAACUAUAUUUUUGGUGUUUGUUUCAUUAGUCCAUUGUUGACAUAGUCCCAAAAUGUUUUGCUUGUCAGCUAUGUCAACAACGGACUAAGGUGUGACGUUUUCCUUUCAACUAGUCAGAUCAAGGCCCAUGGUGUGUGUGUGCAGUAAUAUGCUAAUUAUAUGCAGAUCAGUGGAUGCCAAUCAGGUGGCAGCACACCUUCACAAAUUUAAAUAUCUCGCAGUGCUCAUCCCCUUUUUUUUUUUUUACCAAACGUAAUAAACUUGCUUAUAAUUUCUUGAUCUUAAAUAAGAUUCCCCCUUUAAAGCAAAAAAAUAUAUAUAAUAACCCAUAGGCUAUGUAUAUUAUAAAUACUGUUUAUAAUGAUAUAUAUUACGUACCUUCAUGCUUAAAACAGUUUAUACCGACAGACCAUAGUACGGAGGCAUGAGUCCGAUGACAUAAUAUGUACAUAAUGCUGAACCCGUUUCAAUGGAUGUUUUCUAGUGUGGUGUUUUAUAUGUGUGCAACUUCCCCUUUAAGACUUCAACACCCGUUGGAUCACUGACAGAGUGUGACAGCAUUAUAAAUGAGUCUGUUGCUCUCUCCUUUUCACCCCUCCCCCCCCCCUGAACUAGAAAAACAAAUACGAAGGAUUGAUAACAGAGGCAUUAUCAAUAACACAAGAUGUCUGCAUCUUACUAGAUCUACACGCUGGCUUCUCUCCAUCGCAGCGGGUCACGGUUCACUUCCGCUCAACAGUUCAUAUCAUCGUGUCUUCAUUCUUAUUUGGCUUCAGCUUUCCCUGUUUCUUCAUGACGUUGUAUCACCCUUAUUUAAGUUGCAUACGCAACCAGUUCAAUGGAAGCUGGCUAGUUGUUAAGUAGCUUGAGAUCCUUGAUCAGUAUUUCAGAUGCUCAGAGAGAACAUUCUCCAUGUCUGCUGGUUUUCUCUCUGCCGCCAUUUCACUGGCCAUAGUAUCUACUACUUUACAAAGUGGCCAAACAUCUAUACAUAUCUCUGCUCCUGUAACUGGCUGUGGUGUUCCCCAUCUCUGCUCCUGUAAAUGGCUGUGGUGUUACCCAUCUCUGCUCCUGUAACUGGCUGUGGUGUUUCCCAUCUCUGCUCCUGUAAAUGGCUGUGGUGUUCCCCAUCUCUGCUCCUGUAACUGGCUGUGGUGUUCCCCAUCUCUGCUCCUGGCUGUGGUGUUUCCCGUCUCUGCUCCUGUAACUGUCUGUGGUGUUUCCCGUCUCUGCUCCUGUAACUGGCUGUGGUGUUUCCCAUCUCUGCUCCUGUAACUGGCUGUGGUGUUUCCCAUCUCUGCUCCUGGCUGUGGUGUUACCCAUCUCUGCUCCUGUAACUGGCUGUGGUGUUCCCCAUCUCUGCUCCUGUAACUGGCUGUGGUGUUUCCCGUCUCUGCUCCUGUAACUGGCUGUGGUGUUUCCCGUCUCUGCUCCUGUAACUGUCUGUGGUGUUUCCCAUCUCUGCUCCUGGCUGUGGUGUUCCCCGUCUCUGCUCCUGUAACUGGCUGUGGUGUUUCCCAUCUCUGCUCCUGUAACUGGCUGUGGUGUUCCCCAUCUCUGCUCCUGUAACUGGCUGUGGUGUUUCCCAUCUCUGCUCCUGUAACUGUCUGUGGUGUUUCCCGUCUCUGCUCCUGUAACUGGCUGUGGUGUUUCCCAUCUCUGCUCCUGUCUGUGGUGUUCCCCAUCUCUGCUCCUGUAACUGUCUGUGGUGUUCCCCAUCUCUGCUCCUGUAAAUGGCUGUGGCGUUUCAUGCGACACCUAUCAGACUUCAUACCAAGUCAUUAAGUCACCAAGUCUAAUGCCAAGUCUAGAGCUCCCAGCUCAUUGGUUGAGAUGCUCAAUGAGAACAUUCUCUGUGUAGUGUAGGUCUACCCCCCUUUUGAUUGCACUUGCUUUUUCUAUAUAACGUUACGAUGCCUUCUAUAUAACGUUAAAAUGCCAUCAACGACGUUGAAAUGCCUUCUAUAUAACGUUACAAUGCCAUAAUGGGACAUAGUGUCUACUGGCUCAGUAUCUCCACAGAGAGAGAGCCAGCGAGGUGGAUGACAUUACAGUGCCAUGCCACCUUUAGGGCCACGUAGGACUAGACGUCUGCUGCACAGCAUUACAGGCCCUUAACCCACCUACAGAAGGCACCUACAGGCCCUUAACCCACCUACAGGCCCUUAACCCACCUAC